UACAGAGGGUGCAAGCGUUAAUCGGAAUUACUGGGCGUAAAGGGUGCGUAGGUGGUUUGAUAAGUUAGGUGUGAAAGCCCCGGGCUUAACCUGGGAAUUGCGCCUAAUACUGUUAAGCUAGAGUACUGUAGAGGGAGGUGGAAUUUCCGGUGUAGCGGUGAAAUGCGUAGAUAUCGGAAGGAACACCAGUGGCGAAGGCGACUUCCUGGACAGAUACUGACACUGAGGCACGAAAGCAUGGGGAGCAAACAGG
rnacentral:rRNA from 1 species